UAUAAUAUGAACAUGAAUUUUGUCUUCUUUUUCUUCUUUAGCCACUCUUAUUAGGGGCUUUUUGUCGUUCGAGAAAGAAAAGAAGACAAGAUUUUAAAGCCCCCUCACUCAGGGGGCUUUUUUAUU
rfam:Providencia burhodogranariea DSM 19968 genomic scaffold scaffold00004, whole genome shotgun sequence.